rnacentral:rRNA from 1 species
UACGGAGGGUGCUAGCGUUGUUCGGAAUCACUGGGCGUAAAGAGCGUGUAGGCGGCCCGGUAAGUCCGCUGUGAAAGUCCAGGGCUCAACCCUGGGAUGCCGGUGGAUACUGUCGGGCUCGAGUCCGGAAGAGGAGUGUGGAAUUCCUGGUGUAGCGGUGAAAUGCGCAGAUAUCAGGAGGAACACCAAUGGCGAAGGCAGCACUCUGGGACGUGACUGACGCUGAGACGCGAAAGCGUGGGGAGCAAACAGG